UACGUAGGGACCGAGCGUUGUCCGGAAUCAUUGGGCGUAAAGAGCGUGUAGGCGGCCAACUAAGUCCUGCGUGAAAUCUCGGGGCUCAACCCCGAGCGGUCGUGGGAAACUGGUUGGCUAGAGUGCGGGAGAGGAGAGUGGAAUUCCUGGUGUAGCGGUGAAAUGCGCAGAUAUCAGGAAGAACACCAAUAACGGCGAAGGCAGUUAACUAUUCUGUUACUGACAUUGAGGCACGAAAGCGUGGGGAGCAAAACGG
rnacentral:rRNA from 1 species